rnacentral:rRNA from 1 species
AUACGAAGGUGGCGAGCGUUGUUCGGAAUCACUGGGCAUAAAGCGCGUGCAGGCGGCAACGCAAGUCUGUGGUGAAAUCCCUCGGCUCAACCCCGGAAGGGCUUCGGAUACUACCAAGCUUGAGUACACGAGAGGAGAGUGGAAUUCCAGGUGUAGCGGUGAAAUGCGUAGAUAUCUGGAGGAACACCGGUGGCGAAAGCGGCUCUCUGGCGUGAUACUGACGCUGAGGCUCGAAAGCGUGGGGAGCGAACGGGAUUAGAAACCCCAGUAGUCC